rnacentral:rRNA from 1 species
UUCUAUUAGAUAUUAUUAAUAGUAAAAUCUGCUCAAUGAAAUUUUUAAUAGCCGCAAUUCGUGCUAAGGUAGCAUAAUAACUUGUCUUCUAAUUAAAGACUAGAACAAACGAUUUAACUUUUAAAUUUAUUUCUUAAUUUUAUAAAUUUUAAUUUUUCUUAAAUGUUAAAAGACAUUUAUUUUAAAGAAAGACGAUAAGACCCUAUUGAAUUUAACUAUUGUUUAACUGGGGUAGUUAAUUAAUUAACACUUUAAUUUAAAUUCUAAACCUAAAGAUCUAAUUUAUUUAACCUUAUAAUCAAAUUACCAUAGGGAUAACAGCGCUAUUAUUUUCUAAAGAUCCUAUAUAAAAAAUAUAUUACGACCUCGAUGUUGAAUUAAUAAACCAAUACUAACGCAAUAGUUAUAUUGGAAGUCUGUUCGACUUUUAAAUUAUU